rnacentral:rRNA from 1 species
GACGAACGCUGGCGGCGUGCUUAACACAUGCAAGUCGAACGGAAAGGCCCCAGCUUGCUGGGGUACUCGAGUGGCGAACGGGUGAGUAACACGUGGGUGAUCUGCCCUGCACUCUGGGAUAAGCCUGGGAAACUGGGUCUAAUACCGGAUAGGACCGUGCUUUAGUGUGUGCGGUGGAAAGUUUUUCGGUGCAGGAUGAGCCCGCGGCCUAUCAGCUUGUUGGUGGGGUAAUGGCCUACCAAGGCGGCGACGGGUAGCCGGCCUGAGAGGGGGUACGGCCACAUUGGGACUGCGACACGGCCCAGACUCCUACGGGAGGCAGCAGUGGGGAAUAUUGCACAAUGGGCGCAAGCCUGAUGCAGCGACGCCGCGUGGGGGAUGACGGCCUUCGGGUUGUAAACCCCUUUCGGCAGGGACGAAGCUUUUGUGACGGUACCUGCAUAAGAAGCACCGGCUAACUACGUG